ensembl:lncRNA
CUCUAGUUAUGAUCUUUAGAAAACAAGAUGUCUUUUAGGAGUGAUGGAAGGAGAGUUCUAUCCCAAAAGGAGAACCUUACAUUUUUUUUUUCUUAUAGGUCUUUCUAAAUGCUGACGAUUAGGUUCUUCCCACAGAAGACUGAAAUAGAGAAGACUAUUGAAAAGACUUAUUUCUUGUGACAUCUCAAUGAAAGGUUUGCACUGAAGAUUUUGGAAGACAGAUGAAUCCUUUAACAGCUUGUACCAGGCAUCUGCCAGUCUGAAGAUAUGACAUCAGCCCUUUCUAAACUUAUCUUUGACAGAGUUCAUGGGUGUGAGAAUUGUCUGUUCAUAGAACUUACUGAGUUCAUCAUUUCCUAUGAUCCUGGGGCCUUUGCAUCUACUGAAGUACUUUUUAAGGAUGUGUAUGUUUGUAUUCCGAGCUGUCAUAAAAAUGUCAUUGCUGCUGUUUUCCCUAUCCCUUUGCCCGGUGCGUCAUGGAACUGGGCCGAACCAGCCCGUAAACCGUUGACACCACUGAAAAAAAAAAAAAUAAUAAAUCUUUGAAGACCCUCAUUCAUGAUGCUGAAUGUAAUAAGAAAGAAUAAAUGAAAUACGUGUUAGUCUUGAUGCCUCAUGUCUGAUGAAAUAUCUGAAAGUAUUUCCUCAUUGUGAAACAAUGCAAAUAAAUGUUAUCCUAUUAAAUGGCCAGAGAAGUAAAAACAUAAAGUUAAAAAUCCCCAGAUACAAGCCGCAGUGAGGAGGCCUGGAAUAAUAUAUACAUAAUUCUAAUCAAGCUAAUGUAAGAUAUUAUAAACAAAAAAUCUUGUAAUACAGAAUCAGAGUAUGAUUUGGGCUAAAAGGGACAUUAAAGAACAUCUAGUUUUUCAAAAUUGUUUAUAUUCAGGUGACAUAAUAUAUAAGACAUCAGAUAAGACAUCACAUCAUAUCACCUGUGUUAGUAGGUUUACCACAACUGCAAUUAAUGUUAGAGUUUUCCGAAUUUCUGAAUUUGUUUAGUAUUUCUAUUAUAUUUGAGACUAGUAUAGUGUUUUAUCAGAAUCAUCAGCAAUAGUUUGCAUACAUGCUGUCUAAAGAAAUAUGGUACAUGCAGAUCAGAGAGUAGGCAAUUUAAUAAAGUAAGCAAUUUAAUAGAAUAAAUAAAUAAAUAAAAUUAAUAAAUCAAGAGUUAUGUUUUCUAUUUAUGGAUUUCCUAUAAUUGAAUAUAGGCAUCAUAAUACCUCUGGUGUAUGGUGUAUGUAUUAUUUGAGAUUACUCAGAUCCUUCUGAAAAAUGACCAUUUUGUAACUUUUCUAUGAAC